GAUGAACGCUGGCGGUGUGCUUAACACAUGCAAGUCGAACGGAAAGGCUCCUGCUUGCAGGGGUACUCGAGUGGCGAACGGGUGAGUAACACGUGGGUGAUCUGCCCUGCACUUCGGGAUAAGCCUGGGAAACUGGGUCUAAUACCGGAUAGGACGAUGGUUUGGAUGCCAUUGUGGAAAGUUUUUCGGUGUGGGAUGAGCUCGCGGCCUAUCAGCUUGUUGGUGGGGUAAUGGCCUACCAAGGCGUCGACGGGUAGCCGGCCUGAGAGGGUGUACGGCCACAUUGGGACUGAGAUACGGCCCAGACUCCUACGGGAGGCAGCAGUGGGGAAUAUUGCACAAUGGGCGCAAGCCUGAUGCAGCGACGCCGCGUGGGGGAUGACGGCCUUCGGGUUGUAAACUCCUUUCGCUAGGGACGAAGCGCAAGUGACGGUACCUGGAGAAGAAGCACCGGCUAACUACGUG
rnacentral:rRNA from 1 species